rnacentral:misc_RNA from 1 species
AAGUCGUAACAAGGUUUCCGUAGGUGAACCUGCGGAAGGAUCAUUAACACGUAUCCAAACCGCGUAGUUCGCAAUCUCUGAUAAAUCAUAGCCCGGAAAGUUGUAGUGAUUGGCUACGUGCGAUCAUUGGAACAGUUACAAUCGAGCGGUAGUUCUAUAGGCAAUGUUUCCCCAAGCAGUCAGUGUCGGAAAGUGUCAUUGAUUGUGCAAGGAUAGCGCUUCUACGAUUCCUGUAGACCGUACACUCGGGCAGGAGCUUUGCCAAAGGGUCCCCAUGCCCCCUAAUAACCCCACAGUUUAAUGUGAAGCUCAUGUAAUACAUUGGGUAAAAAAACCGAACAACUGUUAACAAUGGAUAUCUUGGUUCUC